rnacentral:lncRNA from 10 species
ACAGAGAAACAAGCCCUUUAAAAGGGUUAGUUUCACAAUCGAUGCUAGAUCUCAGUUCAUAGAUCCUUAUCUUUUACUCUGUAGCAACUAGAUAUUUCUUUAGGUUAAUCAGUCUUAAAUCAAAUACCUAAGGUAAUUUAACUUUAAAUGCCAAAGUUUAAAUUUUCUUAAAUGUUAAAUUGGAAUUAUUCUGCACAUUUAACCCAAAAGAAAAACAAAAGGCAUAAAAUGAGAUAUUUUCUUGGUCAACAAGUAUUUGCCCGGGCUCUGUGCUUGGUGGUAAGAAUGCAGAGAUCAACAAGACAGAUCUCCUGGCCGGAGAGUACUUAUACACAAAGAGUAAUUAGCACGAAGAGCACUGGACUUAAGGUUAGAUUUAGCAGCCGUGUUUUCUCAGGCAAAUUAGGAAUCAGUUUAGGAUGAUGAUUAAGAAGUGGGGUCUGAGGCCGGGCAUGGUGGCUCAGGCCUAUAAUCUCAGCACUUUGGGAGGCCAAAGGCAAGGAGGACCACUUGAGCCUUGAGCCCAGGAAGUCAAGGCUGCAGUGAGCCAUGAGCAUGCCAUUGCACUCCAGCCUGGCAGCAGAGCAAGACCCUGUCACUAAAAAAAAAAAAAAAAAAAAAUUGGGCUCUGGGGCCAGAUGUUUUGUAUUUGAAACCUGACUUUUUCAUGCCCUUGGCAAAGUUGUGGGGACUUUGUGGAAGGGACUUACUGGCCUGUGCCUCAGAUUUUUUAUCCAUAAUGUAACAUGCAUUUGCUGUAUUAUUUAAGAAUUUUCAAUUCUGCCCUAAAGAAUAGGAAAAACAAAUGGGAUAGAUGAAACUUAUCUGUAAGUAUAUGUUACAUCAGUUCAUAUGUUAAGUACAGAUAAUAAGUAAAUCAUUAACCCAUGAAACAUGUUAAACAUAGAAUAGAUAUUUACUUCUUAGACAUACGUUAAAAGGACAAAACAAACAAGAGUGUUACUUGUAAACAGAGAUGGAAAGCAAAAUAAACCUUAAAUAUUCAUAAAGCAUGGAUCAGUCUUGUUGCCUCAAAUUGACCACCCAUUGGUAUCAUCCAUUCUAACCCACUUGUUUUGUGCUUAAAAUGUAUACUGCUGCUCAUCAGGUCAUUGCUGAGCUAUAGGUGUAGCUCAUACUUACCUCUAUCUUUUUAUUAUUUUUAUUGUUUGGGGACAGGAUCUUGCUCUGUCGUCCAGGCUGGAGUGCAGUGGCACAAUCAUGACUCAUUGCCUGCUCACUGCAGCCUCAACCUUCAGGUCUCAGGUGAUCCUCCCACCUCAUCCUCCCGGGUAGUUGGGACUACAAGCACGCACCAUCAUGCCCAGCUAAUUUUUUUUUAAAUUUUUUGUAGAGACGUGGUCUCGCCAUGUUGCCCAGGCUGUUCUUGAACUCCUGGACUCAAGUACUCUGCGUGCUUCAAUCUUCCAAAGUGUUGGAAUUACAGGUGUGAGCCACAGCACUCAGCAACCUCAGUCUUUUUGAUAGAGCAAACAUAGACUGGCACCAUGAACUUUCCAUCUCUGAACAUUCUUACCUACACUCUGGUUCUUGUAACCAUGCCAUCUUUGGAGAAGGCAGAUGAGGCAGAGAGAGAGGCAGAACAUGUGAACAUUGAGUGACCCACAGUAGUGUGGUCCUUUCACCUGCAUGAUCUAAAUGUGUUCACCUACUGAAUCUCUUUCCCCUUGCUUCCCACUUUUUUCUAAAACAAUUCAGUCUCCAUAGUGACUGUCAAAAAUUGCCAGUGCUGACUAUCUUGCAAGUUGUCAUGGCAGGGUAUUGGAAAAAGUUUUCAAUUAGCAAUAACCUAGGAUAAACCUCAUUGGCUACCAUAUUUCCACUGUACAAAGCUAAGACUGUGUGUUUUAAAUUGGUUUAACAAACUAAUUUAUUUGACCAUCUUAAUCUGGCCUUUGAGCCAGAUUAUAAUGAUAGUGAUAAUGAUAGUGAAUAUUUUAUGGGAUGACUGUGGAGAUCACAUCAAUUUACUUCAAGUAAGGCACAAUUACAUUGUCUUUCAAAGAACAUAGAAACACGUUGGCGGGGAAUCAGUAAUGUAUGCAGCCAGGUAGCUCCUCUAAUUUCAGUCAGACUGAAAUAGGAAUUAAAAGAAAUUAAAGAAUGUGUAAGCAAAAACUCAGUUGUAUGUAAGAAAACUCAAUUCCCCCUGAAGAAGAGAAAGAGCUGGAGUCCUUUAAAAUUAACUGCCUGUUUUUCUGUGGCUAGUGGACCUUAUCUCUCCCUUUCCCAGGCAUUGUGAAGACUCUGUUUCUCUAGCUGUGCAGCUGCAAGGUCACUAGACAGAUAAUGUCAAGUCGUAAAACAUGUUGUUCCUUGAAAAGUAAGAAAUAAUGUAAUGCAUGUCUUAAUUGAAUAACUGUCUUUGUUUCUCGCUUCUGUAACAUGCUUCCCCCUGCAUAGAUCUCCCCCUGCCCCAAAAAAUGCUUAAAAGGUAGCUUGACUCUCUGUUCGAGGCUCAGUCCUUUUGAUGUUAAUCCGACUGGGUCGGUGCACCUAAAUAAUUAAAUAAUUCCUCCUUAA